UAAAAUGGUCGCUAUUGCGGAUGGGAGUGAAAGACCGCCAUUUGCUUUCCACAACAAAAAGUGCGUAUAAUGCAACGAACGUAUAAUGAGCUACACGCUUUAUAUUUCUGUAUAUAAAAGUACGUUUUUGUGGUCGAAUGAUGCGAUAAUUUAUAGCAAACACAGAUAAAACCCAUUUCAACAGAAGAGAUAAACAAACUGGCGCCAACCACGUGAAAAAGAGGGGUUCAGGUCGGUGAUAAGAUCUUUUUUGACAGUCUUAUGCAUGCUUCUGUACGUUGUAUCAGUGAGACUAGCGUGAUGGUAUUAAGGACCACUCUUAUUCGUUUCGUCCUAACUAAUGACAAAGUGUGCCUAGAUGGAUGCUUACUGACAGAAUGUAAACUGUAUUGUCCAAGAACACGAUGACAAAAUUAAAUAUGAGCUACUUCAUCUAUAUGGAUGCCAAGUUGCUGAGCAAUGUAAAGAAGUUCUACAUCAAAUGCCCUGUGAACAUCACAACAAAAGCAUAAAAUUACUGGAAUGAACUUGAUCAAAUCAUUCAUAGAUGUUUUUUUUCUCAAAGCCAUGCACUCAAAAAAAGAGUGGAGGACUAUGAAAACAGAACAGGAGAUGACGAUCAUCAAAGAAAAUUUAUUUCAUUUUUACCAAAAACUUAUAAGAAUAAUAAAGCAAUUGUUUUGAAAAUUCACAAGUUGAAACUUCCUUCAACCAGCCAGGGGGGGUAGGUUGGGUGGCUAGCCACCCCCCUUUGGAGAAGAAUAAAGAAGAAGGUAUUGUAAAACCUAAGAGGAAUGUAGCAUAGGAGCCCUCCUUAAGAUCAUUCUGGAUACACCACCGUUAUAGCUACAAAGGCUUUAUAUUGUAGGGAAGUUUCACGCUGUUCCUAGACUGAUAUACUGCAUCGUCUUUUAUCCAUGUGAAUAUUGGUGCUAUCGGCAAAACAAUGGGAUACCGGAAUAUACUUUCUCACCAUGGAAAUGAUAAAAUGUGUAGUCAAAAAGAAGUCAAUAUGUCAUGAAUAAAGUCGCAUUGAAAGAUGCCUUUUUAUUGUGAA